rnacentral:rRNA from 1 species
AGAGUUUGAUCCUGGCUCAGGAUGAACGCUGGCGGUAUGCUUAACACAUGCAAGUCGAACGGAUGUUUUCGGACAUUAGUGGCGGACGGGUGAGUAACGCGUGAGAAUCUAGCUUCAGGUUGGGGACAACAGUUGGAAACGACUGCUAAUACCGAAUAUGCCGAGAGGUGAAAGAUUAAUUGCCUGAAGAAGAGCUCGCGUCUGAUUAGCUAGUUGGUGGGGUAAGAGCUUACCAAGGCGACGAUCGGUAGCUGGUCUGAGAGGACGAUCAGCCACACUGGGACUGAGACACGGCCCAGACUCCUACGGGAGGCAGCAGUGGGGAAUUUUCCGCAAUGGGCGAAAGCCUGACGGAGCAAUACCGCGUGAGGGAAGAAGGCUCUUGGGUUGUAAACCUCUUUUCUUAGGGAAGAAAAAAAUGACGGUACCUAAGGAAUAAGCAUCGGCUAACUCCGUGCCAGCAGCCGCGGUAAUACGGAGGAUGCAAGCGUUAUCCGGAAUGAUUGGGCGUAAAGCGUCCGCAGGUGGCAAGUCAAGUUUGCGGUUAAAGGUUCUGGCUCAACCAGAGACAAGCCGUGAAAACUGACUAGCUAGAGUAUGGUAGGGGCGGAGGGAAUUCCCAGUGUAGCGGUGAAAUGCGUAGAGAUUGGGAAGAACACCGGUGGCGAAAGCGCUCUGCUAGGCCAAAACUGACACUGAGGGACGAAAGCUAGGGGAGCGAAUGGGAUUAGAUACCCCCGUAGUCC